rnacentral:misc_RNA from 1 species
UCCGGUUUGUCACCGGCAGUCCCAUUAGAGUGCCCAACUGAAUGUGGCAACUAAUGGCAAGGGUUGCGCUCGUUGCGGGACUUAACCCAACAUCUCACGACACGAGCUGACGACAGCCAUGCAGCACCUGUGUUAUGGUUCCCGAAGGCACCCCCGCAUCUCUGCAGGGUUCCGGACAUGUCAAGACCAGGUAAGGUUCUUCGCGUUGCAUCGAAUUAAACCACAUACUCCACCGCUUGUGCGGGCCCCCGUCAAUUCCUUUGAGUUUCAACCUUGCGGUCGUACUUCCCAGGUGGGAUACUUAAUGCGUUAGCUGCGAUACAGAAGGGGUCAAUACCUCCUACAUCUAGUUAUCAUCGUUUACGGCGUGGACUAC